rnacentral:rRNA from 1 species
UGAGGGGGUCCGGGAGUUUGUCGUCUGGUGCAUGGCGGGGGUCAUUG